AUUGAACGCUGGCGGCAGGCCUAACACAUGCAAGUCGAGCGGAUGAAGGGAGCUUGCUCCUGGAUUCAGCGGCGGACGGGUGAGUAAUUCCUAGGAAUCUGCCUUGUAGUGGGGGAUAACGUCCGUAAACGGGCGCUAAUACCGCAUACGUCCUGAGGUAGAAAGUGGGGGAUCUUCGGACCUCACGCUAUCAGAUGAGCCUAGGUCGGAUUAGCUAGUUGGUGGGGUAAAGGCCUACCAAGGCGACGAUCCGUAACUGGUCUGAGAGGAUGAUCAGUCACACUGGAACUGAGACACGGUCCAGACUCCUACGGGAGGCAGCAGUGGGGAAUAUUGGACAAUGGGCGAAAGCCUGAUCCAGCCAUGCCGCGUGUGUGAAGAAGGUCUUCGGAUUGUAAAGCACUUUAAGUUGGGAGGAAGGGCAGUAAGUUAAUACCUUGCUGUUUUGACGUUACCAUCAGAAUAAGCACCGGCUAACUUCGUG
rnacentral:rRNA from 1 species